rnacentral:rRNA from 1 species
CACGAAGUUAGCCGGGGCUUCUUCUCCGGUUACCGUCAUUAUCUUCACCGGUGAAAGAGCUUUACAACCCUAGGGCCCUCAUCACUCACGCGGCAUGGCUGGAUCAGGCUUGCGCCCAUUGUCCAAUAUUCCCCACUGCUGCCUCCCGUAGGAGUCUGGGCCGUGUCUCAGUCCCAGUGUGGCUGAUCAUCCUCUCAGACCAGCUAUGGAUCGUCGCCUUGGUGGGCCUUUACCCCACAACUAGCUAAUCCAACGCGGGCUCAUCCUUUGCCGAUAAAUCUUUCUCCCGAAGGACACAUACGGUAUUAGCACAAGUUUCCCUGAGUUAUUCCGUAGCAAAAGGUAGAUUCCCACGCGUUACUCACCCGUCUGCCGCUCCCCUUGCGGGGCGCUCGACUUGCAUGUGUUAAGCCUGCCGCCAGCCGUUCGUUCUGAGCCAGGAUCAAACUCU